GAUGAACGCUGGCGGCGUGCUUAACACAUGCAAGUCGAACGAUGAAGCCCAGCUUGCUGGGUGGAUUAGUGGCGAACGGGUGAGUAACACGUGAGUAACCUGCCCUUAACUCUGGGAUAAGCCUGGGAAACUGGGUCUAAUACCGGAUAGGAGCUCCUACCGCAUGGUGGGUGUUGGAAAGAUUUAUCGGUUUUGGAUGGACUCGCGGCCUAUCAGCUUGUUGGUGAGGUAAUGGCUCACCAAGGCGACGACGGGUAGCCGGCCUGAGAGGGUGACCGGCCACACUGGGACUGAGACAGGGCCAGGACUCCUACGGGAGGCAGCGGUGGGGAAUAUUGCAAAAUGGGCGAAAGCCUGAUGCAGAGACGCCGCGUGAGGGAUGACGGCCUUCGGGUUGUAAACCUCUUUCAGUAGGGAAGAAGCGAAAGUGACGGUACCUGCAGAAGAAGCACCGGCUAACUACGUG
rnacentral:rRNA from 1 species